rnacentral:rRNA from 1 species
UACGUAGGGCGCAAGCGUUGUCCGGAAUUAUUGGGCGUAAAGAGCUCGUAGGCGGCUUGUCACGUCGGGUGUGAAAGCCCGGGGCUUAACCCCGGGUCUGCAUUCGAUACGGGCUAGCUAGAGUGUGGUAGGGGAGAUCGGAAUUCCUGGUGUAGCGGUGAAAUGCGCAGAUAUCAGGAGGAACACCGGUGGCGAAGGCGGCUCACUGGCCCGGUACUGACGCUGAGGUGCGAAAGCGUGGGGAGCAAACAGG